CAGUCGCCGCGGUAAUACGGAGGGGGCUAGCGUUGUUCGGAAUUACUGGGCGUAAAGCGCACGUAGGCGGCUUGGUAAGUUAGAGGUGAAAGCCUGGAGCUCAACUCCAGAAUUGCCUUUAAGACUGCCGAGCUAGCAGGUGAGAGAGGUAAGUGGAAUUCCGAGUGUAGAGGUGAAAUUCGUAGAUAUUCGGAAGAACACCAGUGGCGAAGGCGGCUUACUGGCUCAUACUGGACGCUGAGGUGCGAAAGCGUGGGGAGCAAACAGGAUUAGAUACCCCAGUAGUCCCUGUCUCUUAUAC
rnacentral:rRNA from 1 species